UACGAAGGGGGCUAGCGUUGCUCGGAAUCACUGGGCGUAAAGCGCACGUAGGCGGAUUGUUAAGUCAGGGGCGAAAUCCUGGAGCUCAACUCCAGAACUGCCUUUGAUACUGGCGAUCUCGAGUCCGGGAGAGGUGAGUGGAACUGCGAGUGUAGAGGUGAAAUUCGUAGAUAUUCGCAAGAACACCAGUGGCGAAGGCGGCUCACUGGCCCAUAACUGACGCUGAGGCACGAAAGCGUGGGGAGCAAACAGG
rnacentral:rRNA from 1 species